GUGAUUUCUUCUUAACUCCUAUGUCACUUCCACCUUGGCCUCCUGAGUAACUAGCUGCAUGCCACUAGGCCCAGCUUUAAAAAGCUUUUCUUGAUGUGGUUUACAUCUGUCCAUGUUUAUCAUAUUCAAAAUUAAAGCUGGGAAAAUUUAAAAGUAUUAAUUGAUUUUUAAAUAAUAAGUCAUUAUUUGCUAACAUAAGUACAUAUUUUAUGUAAAAUAAAAUAUAUUUUUCCAAAACAAAAUUAAGCAAAAAGAAUAGUAUUGUUUUAUACUUUGGCAAAUCUCUUUAAUUUCUGGUUUAACAGAAAGCUCAAUUCUCAUCUGCUUUGGUAUUGUCUGUUGCAGUAUCUUGUUUUGGUUUAAGUAUCCGAAUAACUUAGCCUUAUACCGAUGUGUGGUUGGAAAUGAGAAACAUAGCUUUUUCAAAUAACUGGAUAUUCUUCUUUGAUAUUACACCAAAACUUGACAGUAGUACUUUCUGAAAGGCUAGUUGCAAUGUAGAAUCUGGAACCAAAUCAAUGAACUCUAUGUAUUCCCUUAUAUUAAAUUCCAUUGUUCAUUUGUACUCUUGUUGAAUCUUUUACCCAUGAAUAAUAUUGAUCUUGCAGAUCCCCCUGAAAGGGUCUUACAUCCUCCAAAGGUCCAUGGACCAUACUUUGACAAAUGAUGAUUGAUUGGUUUACUUGUUCAUAGUUGGCUUCUUCCAACUCUACCCUCUAGAAGUAAGCUUUUAGAAGGAGCAGGAAUCGUGUUUAUUUGGUAACCCUUGAACUUAUCAUAAGAUCUAGCUCACUGAGGGUACUCAAUAAUCAUGAGUUCAAUGAAUGAACCUCUGUGAUUCUCCAAGGGGUGUCCUGUGAAGUCAUCUGUUAUUUCAUGGAGGUGGUUAAUGGUUCUAUGUGAUGUUGAUACUACAUCAACCAAUUUCUCCAGGUUUUAAAAAUCAAUGUCAUAUAGAUAAAUUCACUUAACACUAACUGGCUGCAAAAUCAUCAAAUUUUGCCCUUCAGAAACAGAUUGUGAUUUUCAAUGACCAAUAUUUAUUUCAGUAAUCAUUCAAUACAGUAUUACAAUAAUCCAAUGUCAAUACAUUUUAUGAACUCUGCAGUAUAAAAUGCUAUAUGUUGGAAACAAGUUUAUCUAACCAAAGAUUUAUGAAGCAGUUCUCUUUCUUUAAGGGUACAGUAUUGCUGGGUGCAACGACGUGCCUGUAGUCCCAGCUACUUGGGAGGCUGAGGCCAGAGGAUCACCUGAGCCCAGGAGUUCUGGACUGCAGAGAGCUGUGCCAAUCAGGUGUCAAGACUGGUCCAAAUCUUGGGUCAGACUCACAUUUGGAGAGUAUCGUCUCCAUGAGAGUCAGAAGAAAAUGGGCAAAGUAAUUGAGGAGGCGAGCUACAAGAUUUCCGAAGCUGACACUCCUGAAAUAUAAAGAUGAGGACUGAGGGACUCACUAACAAGGUGGCUGGCUCUCCCCAGAGUGAAUGAUUCCAGAGAAGGCCAGAAAGAGUCACUGCAUCUAAAACGGAACCUGCAGUAUUUUGUAACCUCAUCUCAAAAGUGACAAACCAUCACUUCUGUCAUAGUCUUGUCUUUAGAAGUCAGUCAAUUCAACCCACGUAGAAAAAGGGGAUUGCACAGCAAUCCCAUUACUGGUUAUAUACCCAGACAAAUAUAAAUCAUUCUACCAUAAAGACACACGCUUGUGA
rnacentral:lncRNA from 1 species